rnacentral:tRNA from 1 species
AGCUGAUUACUCCUUUUUUUUUUACAUUUUAAAGAUUGGC